rnacentral:rRNA from 1 species
GAUGAACGCUGGCGGCGUGCUUAACACAUGCAAGUCGAACGGGAAACCUUUUAUUGAAGCUUCGGCAGAUUUAGCUGGUUUCUAGUGGCGGACGGGUGAGUAACGCGUGGGUAACCUGCCUUAUACAGGGGGAUAACAACCAGAAAUGGUUGCUAAUACCGCAUAAGCGCACAGGACCGCAUGGUCCGGUGUGAAAAACUCCGGUGGUAUAAGAUGGACCCGCGUUGGAUUAGCUAGUUGGCAGGGUAACGGCCUACCAAGGCGACGAUCCAUAGCCGGCCUGAGAAGGUGAACGGCCACAUUGGGACUGAGACACGGCCCAGACUCCUACGGGAAGCAGCAGUGGGGAAUAUUGCACAAUGGGGGAAACCCUGAUGCAGCGACGCCGCGUGAAGGAAGAAGUAUCUCGGUAUGUAAACUUCUAUCAGCAGGGAAGAUAGUGACGGUACCUGACGAAGAAGCCCCGGCUAACUACGUG